GAUGAACGCUGGCGGCGUGCCUAAUACAUGCCAGUCGAGCGAACAGAUAAGGAGCUUGCUCCUUUGAAGUUAGCGGUGGACGGGUGAGUAACACGUGGGUCACCUACCUAUCAGACUGGGAUAACUUCGGGAAACCGGAGCUAAUACCGGAUAACCUUUAGAACCGCAUGGUUCUAAAGUGAAAGAUGGUUUUUCUAUCACUUAUAGAUGGACCCGCGCCGUAUUAGCUAGUUGGUACGGUAACGGCUUACCAAGGCGACGAUACGUAGCCGACCUGAGAGGGUGAUCGGCCACACUGGAACUGAGACACGGUCAAGACUCCUACGGGAGGCAGCAGUAGGGAAUCUUCCGCAAUGGGCGAAAGCCUGACGGAGCAACGCCGCGUGAGUGAUGAAGGGUUUCGGCUCGUAAAACUCUGUUAUUAGGGAAGAACAAAUGUGUAAGUAACUGUGCACAGCUUGACGGUACCUAAUCAGAAAGCCACGGCUAACUACGUG
rnacentral:rRNA from 1 species